rnacentral:snRNA from 2 species
ACCUUUUCUUGGUCUUUUGGCUAAGAUCAAAGUGUAGUGUACGUUUUUAUCUGUUUAAUAUCAAGAAAUUAAACUAGUUUUUUGAGGAAGCAGCAGUUUGCUGGUUAAAAUGCCGAAUCGUAAACCUUCU